UUGACCUCGGAUCAGGUAGGAAUACCCGCUGAACUUAAGCA
rnacentral:rRNA from 69 species